rnacentral:misc_RNA from 1 species
AACGCAUAUUGCGCUCUCUGGUAUUCCGGAGAGCAUGCUUGUUUGAGUAUCAGUAAACACCUCAACUUCCAUAUCUUUUUUGAAAUGGGAGUUGGACUUGAGUGAUCCCAACGCUUUUCCUCACCGAAAAGUGGCGGGUUACUUGAAAUGCAGGUGCAGCUGGACUUUUCUCUGAGCUAUAAGCAUAUCUAUUUAGUCUGCCUAAAAAACAGAUUAUUACCUUUGCUGCAGCUAACAUAAAGGAGAUUAGUUCUUGUGCUGACUGAUGCAGGAUUCACAAAGACAGCUUCGGCCGACUUUGUAAACUCGAUCUCAAAUCAAGUAAGACUACCCGCUGAACUUAA